AGAGUUUGAUCCUGGCUCAGAAUGAACGCUGGCGGCAGGCCUAACACAUGCAAGUCGGACGGAAACGACAAGAACAAUCACUUCGGUGUGCGUUUUUGGGCGUCGAGUGGCGGACGGGUGAGUAACGCGUGGGAAUCUACCCUUUAGUUGGGGACAACAUAUGGAAACGUAUGCUAAUACCGAAUAUGCUCUACGGAGUAAAGGUGCCCUCUCCUUGGAAGGUAUCGCUAAAGGAUGAGCCCGCGUUAGAUUAGCUAGUUGGUAAGGUAAAGGCUUACCAAGGCGACGAUCUAUAGCUGGUUUGAGAGGAUGAUCAGCCACACUGGGACUGAGACACGGCCCAGACUCCUACGGGAGGCAGCAGUGGGGAAUAUUGCACAAUGAGGGAAACCUUGAUGCAGCCAUGCCGCGUGUGUGAAGAAGGCCCGAGGGUUGUAAAGCACUUUCAAUUGUGAGGAAGAUUAAGUAGCUAAUACCUGCUUAGUUUGGCGUUAACUUUAGAAGAAGCACCGGCUAACUCUGUGCCAGCAGCCGCGGUAAUACAGAGGGUGCAAGCGUUAUUCGGAAUUACUGGGCGUAAAGCGCGCGUAGGCGGACUGUUAAGUCGGUUGUGAAAGCCCUGGGGCUCAACCUAGGAACUGCAUCCGAUACUGGCAAUCUAGAGUUUAAGAGAGGGAAGUGGAAUCCCAGGUGUAGCAGUGAAAUGCGUAGAUAUCUGGA
rnacentral:rRNA from 1 species